UUCAUCGGUACGGGAUGGGGUCGCGUCCUAUCAGGUAGUCGGCGGGGUAACGGCCCACCGAGCCUACGACGGGUAGCCGGCCUGAGAGGGCGACCGGCCACAUUGGGACUGAGAUACGGCCCAGACUCCUACGGGAGGCAGCAGUGGGGAAUAUUGCACAAUGGGCGCAAGCCUGAUGCAGCGACGCCGCGUGCGGGAUGACGGCCUUCGGGUUGUAAACCGCUUUUGAUUGGGAGCAAGCGAGAGUGAGUGUACCUUUCGAAUAAGCACCGGCUAACUACGUGCCAGCAGCCGCGGUAAUACGUAGGGUGCAAGCGUUAUCCGGAAUUAUUGGGCGUAAAGAGCUCGUAGGCGGUUCGUCGCGUCUGGUGUGAAAGUCCAUCGCUUAACGGUGGAUCUGCGCCGGGUACGGGCGGGCUGGAGUGCGGUAGGGGAGACUGGAAUUCCCGGUGUAAC
rnacentral:rRNA from 1 species